UACGAAGGGGGCUAGCGUUGUUCGGAGUUACUGGGCGUAAAGGGCGCGUAGGCGGCGCACCAAGUCAGGCGUGAAAGCCCUGGGCUCAACCCGGGAAUUGCGCUUGAGACUGGUGUGCUUGAGUACGGGAGAGGAUAGUGGAAUUCCCAGUGUAGAGGUGAAAUUCGUAGAUAUUGGGAAGAACACCCGUGGCGAAGGCGGUUCUCUGGGACGGUACUGACGCUGAGACGCGAAAGCGUGGGGAGCGAACAGG
rnacentral:rRNA from 1 species